rnacentral:rRNA from 1 species
GAAUUCGCCCUUAGAGUUUGAUCCUGGCUCAGGAUGAACGCUAGCGGCAGGCUUAACACAUGCAAGUCGAGGGGCAGCGGGGGGCGCGCUUGCGCGUCCCGCCGGCGACCGGCGCACGGGUGAGUAACACGUAUGCAACCUGCCCCCGCCAGGGGUACAACCCUCCGAAAGGGGGGCUGAUACCGCGUACAUCCCUUGGGGGCAUCCCCGGGGGAGGAAAGCCCUUCGGGGCGGGCGGGGAUGGGCAUGCGGCGCAUUAGGAAGACGGCGGUGUGACGGACCACCGUUCCGACGAUGCGUAGGGGUUCUGAGAGGAAGGCCCCCCACACUGGUACUGAGACACGGCCCAGACUCCUACGGGAGGCAGCAGUGGGGGAUAUUGCACAAUGGGGGAAACCCUGAUGCAGCGACGCCGCGUGUGGGAAGACGGUCCUCUGGAUUGUAAACCACUGUCCCCAGGGACGAAAAUGACGGUACCUGGGGAGGAAGCUCCGGCUAACUACGUGCCAGCAGCCGCGGUAAUACGUAGGGAGCGAGCGUUGUCCGGAAUUACUGGGUGUAAAGGGAGCGUAGGCGGGGAUGCAAGUUGGGUGUCAAAACUACCGGCUCAACUGGUAGUCGCACUCAAAACUGCAGCUCUUGAGUGAAGUAGAGGCAGGCGGAAUUCCUAGUGUAGCGGUGAAAUGCGUAGAUAUUAGGAGGAACACCAGUGGCGAAGGCGGCCUGCUGGGCUUUUACUGACGCUGAGGCUCGAAAGCGUGGGGAGCAAACAGGAUUAGAUACCCUGGUAGUCCACGCAGUAAACGAUGAUAGCUCGUUGUCGGCGAUACACAGUCGGUGACUAAGAGAAAUCGAUAAGCUAUCCACCUGGGGAGUACGUUCGCAAGAAUGAAACUCAAAGGAAUUGACGGGGGCCCGCACAAGCGGAGGAACAUGUGGUUUAAUUCGAUGAUACGCGAGGAACCUUACCCGGGCUUGAAAGUUAGUGACUGAUCUGGAAACAGGUCUUCCCUUCGGGGCAUGAAACUAGGUGCUGCAUGGUUGUCGUCAGCUCGUGCCGUGAGGUGUCGGGUUAAGUCCCAUAACGAGCGCAACCCCUACUGAUAGUUGCCAUCAGGUCAAGCUGGGCACUCUAUCGGGACUGCCGGUGUAGGCCGGAGGAGGGUGGGGAUGACGUCAAAUCAGCACGGCCCUUACGUCCGGGGCGACACACGUGUUACAAUGGUAGGUACAGAGGGCAGCUACCCAGCGAUGGGGUGCAAAUCUCGAAAGCCUAUCUCAGUUCGGAUUGGAGGCUGAAACUCGCCUCCAUGAAGUUGGAUUCGCUAGUAAUCGCGCAUCAGCCAUGGCGCGGUGAAUACGUUCCCGGGUCUUGUACACACCGCCCGUCA